rnacentral:rRNA from 1 species
UGGCUCAGAUUGAACGCUGGCGGCAUGCUUUACACAUGCAAGUCGAACGGUAACAGGGAGCUUGCUCCGCUGACGAGUGGCGAACGGGUGAGUAAUAUAUCGGAACGUACCCAGAAGUGGGGGAUAACGUAGCGAAAGUUACGCUAAUACCGCAUACGAUCCACGGAUGAAAGUAGGGGACCUUCGGGCCUUAUGCUUUUGGAGCGGCCGAUAUCUGAUUAGCUAGUUGGGAGGUAAAGGCUCACCAAGGCGACGAUCAGUAGCUGGUCUGAGAGGACGACCAGCCACACUGGAACUGAGACACGGUCCAGACUCCUACGGGAGGCAGCAGUGGGGAAUUUUGGACAAUGGGCGCAAGCCUGAUCCAGCAAUGCCGCGUGAGUGAAGAAGGCCUUCGGGUUGUAAAGCUCUUUUGUCAGGGAAGAAACGGCUGUGGCUAAUAUCCACGGCUAAUGACGGUACCUGAAGAAUAAGCACCGGCUAACUACGUGCCAGCAGCCGCGGUAAUACGUAGGGUGCAAGCGUUAAUCGGAAUUACUGGGCGUAAAGCGUGCGCAGGCGGUUUUGUAAGUCUGACGUGAAAUCCCC